rnacentral:rRNA from 1 species
AUUACUGGGCGUAAGCGCACGCAGGCGGUCUGUCAAGUCGGAUGUGAAAUCCCCGGCCCCUACCUGGGAACUGCAUUCGAAACUGGCAGGCUAGAGUCUUCUAUAGGGGGGUAGAAUUCCAGGUGUAGCGGUGAAAUGCGUAGAGAUCUGGAGGAAUACCGGUGGCGAAGGCGGCCCCCUGGACAAAGACUGACGCUCAGGUGCGAAAGCGUGGGGAGCAAACAGGAUUAGAUACCCUGGUAGUCCACGCCGUAAACGAUGUCGACUUGGAGGUUGUGCCCUUGAGGCGUGGCUUCCCGAACUAACGCGUUAAGUCGACCGCCUGGGGAGUACAGCCGCACGGAUAAAACUUAAAUGAAUUGACCGGGGCCCGCAC